AAUUCGAUUCAGGCCUAACACAUCCAACUCAAACGGCAGCACGGACUUCGGUCUGGUAAAAAAAAAAAAACGGGUGAGUAAUAUAUCGGAACAUACCCAGUAGUGGGGGAUAACUAUCCGAAAGGAUAGCUAGUACCACAUACGAUGUGUGGGUGAAAGCAGGGGGUGUUCGCGCCUUGUGCUAUUGGAAUGGCCGAUAUGUGAUUGAGUAGUUGGUAGGGUAAAAGCCUACCAAGGCGACCAUCCGUAGCUGGUCUGAGAGUACGACCAACCACA
rnacentral:rRNA from 1 species